UAACCCUAUCUCUUGUUUCCCCACACAUACGGACUCUAAAAAUAGCCUAUACUUAUGUAUUUCGAAAUUACAUGGGCCUGGCCCAAUAAUAAGGUGACGCAGCACGUAGAAUAGCCUCUGGACGAAAUUUAUGAAGUGGCAUCUUGUAUAUUUCGUCCAAGGCUUCAUGCACUCAUUAUGGUGGCUUCAAAGUCCUGAAAUCAUCACUUGUAACUCCAUUCUUGUCCCCCUUGCGCAUGCCAUCAUCUCCAUGCUUGUUCUUGCUCCAAUGUUCAUCCUUCUCCAAGCUAGGCCCUUCAUUUGUAAGCAAAACAAAUGUAUCCAAUUUAGGCAGCAUCAUAUUCUCAUGAACAUUAGAAUCAUUACCAAGAAACGAAAGUACCUGGUAAUUUAGUUGGCGUGCACGAGCUCUAGUAAUUGGUCCAGUAUGUAUAGCAGCAGGGGCUGUGGGUGUAACAAUUGUAUUGAUGUCCUCAUCAUCCUCCCCUUCUUUAAAUGAAGUCGUCCUCGACGGAACUUCAUCUUCCUCACCCAAAUAUGGCUUCAAAUCUGCAAUGUUAAAAGUGGGACUAACCCCAAAAUCUGUAGGCAGCUCAAGUUUAUAUGCAUUAUCAUUUACUUUCUCCAACACCUUAAAGGGACCAGCAGCACGUGGCAUUAGCUUUGAUUUGCGCAAAUCAGGAAAUCUAUCCUUACGCAAAUGUAACCAAACAAGAUCUCCAGGUGCAAACACAACAUGUUUUCUACCCUUAUCUCCAGCAAGUUUAUAUUUAGCAUUCAUACGCUCAAUGUUUUCCUUAGUUAACUCAUGCAUUUUUAAAAUCAAUUCAGCACGUUCUUUAGCAUCAAAAUUAACCUUCUCCGAAGAUGGAAGAGGAAAUAAAUCAAUAGGUGCACGAGGUAGGAAACCAUACACAACUUCAAAAGGGCACAUCUUAGUAGUAGAAUGCAAUGAACGAUUAUAAGCAAAUUCAAUAUGAGGCAAGCAUUCCUCCCACAUUUUCUUAUUAUUCUUUAGAACAGCCCUAAGCAUAGUAGACAGUGUUCUAUUGACUACUUCAGUUUGUCCAUCAGUUUGGGGGUGACAAGUAGUACUAAAAAGCAGUUUAGUCCCCAACUUAGCCCAUAAACAUCUCCAAAAGUGGCUAAGAAAUUUAGUAUCACGAUCUGAAACAAUAGUAUUUGGCACACCAUGCAAGCGAAUAAUUUCACGAAAGAACAAAUCAGCAACAUUAACAGCAUCAUCGCUUUUAUGACAUGGUAUAAAAUGUGCCAUUUUCGAGAAUCUAUCCACGACAACAAAUAUGCUAUCCCUCCCCUUCUUUGUUCUAGGUAAACCUAAAACAAAGUCCAUAGAUAUAUCCUCCCAAGGAACACUAGGUACAGGCAAAGGCAUAUAUAAACCAUGAGGAUUGAGUCGUGACUUAGCUUUUUGACAUGUAGUGCAGCGAGCAAUAAAACGCUCAACAUCCCGUCUCAUCUUUGGCCAAUAGAAAUGUGUAGCAAGUACGUCCUCCGUCUUCUUCACGCCAAAGUGUCCCAUUAGUCCUCCUCCAUGCGCCUCCUGCAACAACAAAAGACGAACGGAGCUAGCUGGAAUGCAUAGCUUGUUAGCACGGAACACAAAUCCAUCAUUAACGACAAACUUGUUCCAUGUUCUUCCUUCUUUAAAAUUCUGCAAUACAUCUUUAAAAUCAGCAUCAUGCACAUAUUGAUCUUUGAUGGUCUCCAAACCAAAUAUUUUGAAGUCAAGUUGUGAAAGCAUAGUAUAGCGAUGAGACAAUGCAUCAGCAAUAACAUUUUCUUUACCCCUCUUGUGUUUAAUGACAUAAGGGAAAGUCUCAAUGAAUUCAACCCAUUUAGCAUGUCUACGAUUCAGUUUAGCUUGACUUUUAAUAUGUUUCAAAGAUUCAUGAUCAGAAUGUAUAACAAAUUCUUUGGGCCAUAAAUAAUGUUGCCAUGUUUCUGAAGUCCGAACAAGAGCAUAUAAUUCUUUAUCAUAAGUAGAAUAAUUCAGACUAGGCCCACUCAAUUUUUCAGAAAAGUAUGCAACAGGUUUGCCAUCUUGUAAUAACACACCUCCUAAUCCAAUUCCACUAGCAUCACAUUCAAGCUCAAAAGUCUUAUUAAAAUCAGGAAGUUGGAGUAAAGGAGCAUGUGUCAACUUAUCUUUCAAUACCGUGAAGGCUUCUUCCUGUGCAGUACCCCAAACAAAAGGCACAUCCUUCUUUGUAAGCUCAUUGAGAGGUGCAGCAAUGGUGCUGAAAUCUCUCACAAAAUGCCUAUAGAAUCCAGCGAGGCCAAGAAAACUCCUCACUUGUGUGACCGUUUUGGGCUGCGGCCAACUCUCAAUAGCUUCAAUCUUGGCUUUAUCAACUUCAAUUCCCUGUGGAGUAACAACAUAGCCAAGAAAAGACACUCGGUCGGUGCAAAAGGUGCACUUCCCAAGGUUACCAAACAAACGUGCAUCACGUAGAGCAAUAAAAACGGCACGUAAAUGUUCCAAAUGUUCCUCCAAAGAUCUGCUAUAAAUCAAUAUGUCAUCAAAGUAAACUACCACAAAUCGUCCAAUGAAAGCACGUAAAACUUCGUUCAUUAAUCUUAUGAAAGUACUAGGUGCAUUAGUUAACCCAAAAGGCAUGACUAACCACUCAUAUAAUCCAAACUUAGUUUUAAAUGCUGUUUUCCAUUCAUCCCCCAAUUUCAUAUGAAUUUGAUGGUAUCCACUACGCAAAUCAACUUUGGAGAAUAUUGUAGAGCCACUCAAUUCAUCAGGCAUAUCAUCUAGCCUAGGAAUAGGAUGACGAUAACGAAUAGUAAUAUUAUUAAUGCCUCUACAAUCAACACACAUACGCGAUGUACCAUCCUUUUUCGGCACUAGAAUAAUAGGAACAGCACAAGGACUAAGGGAUUCGCGUAUAUAACCUUUGUCGAGAAGCUCUUGUACUUGACGCAUAAUCUCCUUCGUCUCCGCUGGAUUGGUACGGUAUGGCGCACGGUUUGGCAGUGAAGCACCGGGAAUUAAGUCAAUCUGAUGCUCAAUCCCUUGAAUAGGCGGUAAUCCCGGUGGCACGUCUUGUGGAAAGACGUCAGCGAACUCUUGCAAAAUGUUAGUGACAGCAGGAGGCAAAGAGGAAGGCACGUCCUCGAAUGAAAAUAAUGCCUCUUUGCACACAAAAGCAUAGCAAACUGAUUUGCUAAAAUCUAGCUCAUCAAUAUCAGAUUUAGUGGCAAGUAAACAUGCACUUUUUAAUUUAAUUUCAGAAGCAACACUAGAUGGUUUACUAUGAGGCUUCAUAUGUUGCUCAAAUUCUUUUGCCACAAUCUGAUUUUCACUCUGAUUUUUCUCCUGUUUUGCUUUAUUAGCUCUAUUAAUAUCAUCUUUCAAAAUGGACUCAGGAGUCAUAGGAAGCAAAGUAAUAUUUUUAUCCUUAUGAACAAGAGUGUACUGAUUGUUUCUACCAUGGCGUACAGAAUUUUUAUCAAAUUGCCAUGGUCGACCAAGUAAUAAGGAACAUGCUUGCAUAGGUACCACAUCACAAUCAACAUAAUCAGCAUAUGUAGAGAUACUAAAAUGCACACGAACAAUACGUGUUACCUUAACCUUGCUGCUGUUGUUGAACCAUUGGAUGUAGUAAGGAUGUGGAUGUGGUCUUGUGGUGAGAGAUAGCUUCUCCACCAUCUCCAUGCUAGCCAAGUUGUUGCAGCUCCCUCCGUCUAUGAUGACGCGCACAGAACGUUCCUUCACAACUCCCUUGGUAUGGAACAAAUUGUGCCUCUGAUUUUGCUCAGCUUGUGUGACCUGCACACUCAAAACACAUUGAGCAACUAAACAUUCAUACCUGUCAGCGUCUUCAGGAGCCAUGUAUUGCGUCUCAUGAUCAGAAUCAUCUCCACCGUGGUCUUCACGUGUAAUAAGAGCCAACGUCUCCUCAUCAUAGUCACUAGCGGACUCAUACCCACCAUCCUCAGUAGCAAUCAUCACACGCUGAGAUUUGCAUUCUCUUGCAUAAUGACCUCUUCCCUUACAACGACGACAAAUAAUAUCACUGGUGUGCCCAGUUGAUGCCAUGGAAGAAGAAGAGCUCUGUGUAGGCCCGACAGGUGCGCUCUUGGCAGAUAGUGGAGGUUGUGCCUGCUUUCUUGUAUCACGGCUGGAGGUAGCAGCUGAUGGAGGUGCUGGUGUAGUGGAAGUAGAGGAUGCACGCGGUGUCCAUGAUGAAAGUCGACCUGCAGAAAAGUUAGUUCGCGCCAAUGCUUGUCGAUCCUGCACUUCACGUUCAGCUUUACAAGCAAGAUGGAAUAAACGAGUGAUAUUAGUAUACUCCUUAUACUCUAGAAUGGUCUGAAUCUCUCUAUUUAAUCCACCUAUAAAACGUGCAAGCAUAGCUUCAUCCUCCUCAACAAUACCACAUCUAAUCAUGCCAGUUUGUAAUUCCUGAUAAUAUUCUUCUACAAAAUUUUUUCCUUGUCUUAAACGCUGCAAUUUUUGAAGCAAUUCACGUUGAUAAUAUGGUGGAACCCAACGAGUACGCAUAGCAGUUUUCAAAGCAGCCCAAGUAGCGGGAAUAGGAUAUAAUCUACAAUGUUCAGACCACCAUACACAUGCAAAACUAGUGAAAGCACAAACAGCAGCAGCAACCCGUCUCUCCUCGGGAUAUUGUAAACAUGUAAAACGUUGUUCAGUUUCUAACUCCCAAGUAAGAUAUAUAUCAGGAACAUAUCUACCCUCAAAUGGUGGAAUAUUCAAUUUCAGUUUAGGAAUAUGGACAUCAUCUCGUACCUGAGGUGGUGGUGCAGGCCUACCAUUACGAAUAUAUACCUGAGGUCGACCUGCUGGUGGUGGUGCUGGUGGCUGCACGUAGUUCUGAUUUUGAUCAACCUCAUCCUCAUAAUCGCCCGCAUACUCAUCAUCCUCCUCGGUACCAGCAGCAGCAGUAGCAGGAGCCAAAGAAGCACCAACAGUAGUAGCAACGGCACCAGAAUUUUGUCCUGGCUCAAUAGGAACACGCUGAGCUCGUCCAUACUGAUUCGGAAGGGGGCGUAGUUGUUGUCAUUGCAGAGGUGCGAUAGGUGCAGCCGGCGGUGGUUGUGGAAAACGCGCGAGCAAUUCCUUAAACUUGCUAUCAAGCUUUGUUUCAAACGUCUUCUCAAUGCCAUCUAUCUUCUCCAUGGCCUCGUCAAAUCUGUUUAGCACAUCUUGCACCUGUCCACUCAUCAUUUGCUGAAAUUUAUCAUGUAGCUGUUUGUUCGUCAGGUUCUCCCAAUCAGUCUCAUCGGCUUGUGAUCCUACCAUGGUUAGCAGCAAAUAGAAACACACAAGAAUAUGAUCCUACAGACUACUAAGAAGUGGUGGUGGUGUAUCACAAACCCGUCAAGCAAAUCUCAAAUUCUUACCAGUUCUUACCCAGCAGCAGGUGGUGAUCCGCAACCGUUGUAGUCAAAACUCUCAAAGCUUGGAUAUAGCGAUUACCAGGGAGAAUCAAACGCACGACGUAGAUGUAUGUGGAGCUGGGAAGGCUUAUAAUAUGGUAGCAAAAAAAAGGUCAGCAAUAAUCAAUUCAGAGAUGCAAAGUUGAAUAAACGCUCAACGACGGUACUGUGCUGGUCCUAGGCUAGACCGUGCUAGAGACGCGAGCCUAGAACACUAACAAAAUCACGGCGCUGCACGUAAACAAGGGAAAAGCACACUCUGGAAUUUUUUUUCGCUCCUCUUUUUUUUUGCGCUGCCUUUUUUUUGCGCUGCUCUUUUUUUUUGCAAAAAAUCACUAUAAUGGCGAGUGUCUCAAAACUCUUCCCAGGUCAAACUGACAGGAUGGGCACGAAAUUUUUUCGACCAAUUUUUUUUUCGACUGCCUGGACCCAAAAACUGGAAACGGGUCAAAAAAACUUUCUAUAACGGCGACUGUCUCAAUACGCUUAGAAACACCUAAAAAUAGGAUAGCCAGAAUUUUUUUUGUCAAUUUCAUUUUCUGGAAAUUUUGGGCCUAAACGGAGGGUGGUUUCCGGACUCUUUUUUUUGGAAACGAACCUCUUCUACGGACGGCAAAAGAUUGCUGGAAUCCGAAACCUACUCAGACUAGGAAACACGAAUCGGAAAUUAGAUGGAUCCCAAAAACAAACCUAAUAUGCAAGGAACUCGGAUUGGUGGUGGAUAUAUGAUGGUAGGAUAUGGCAGCGGUGGUGGUAUAUGAUAGCGGCGGUGGUAUAUGGAUACGGAUUCGAAGCGGUGGCGGAUAAGCGGUGGUGGUAGAUGGCAGGGGCGAUGAUGAUGGUGCGGCGGCGGCGUGACAACUUAUGACCAGAACUCGAAACUCUAAAAGACUAGACUCUAAGACCAGCAACUAGACACGACGAUGCAACCGCAAAUUCAACAACGCAAAUACAGAAAAGAUUAUGCAAAGGCUCAGAUUGGAUCGGAUAUGAUGAACUAACCCUAAUUUUUGUGUGUGGCUUUUUCGUGGACUGUAGGUAUGAAGAACAGACUCGAUCUAAACUACGAAAAACUGUAAAAUCUCACAACCUGGAAAUCUGAUACCACUUGAUAGAGGCAAAGGUGUCCCGUCUUUCGAUGAGAUGGUGGAUUUCGCUUUGGUGGAAGUCGACUUUGACGAUCCGACUACGAACGUGCGAGGACGUCGUGCCUUAGCAAUCGCUAAAUCAACUCCGAGAGGUUAUUGACCACGCCGGAGCACGAUCAACCUGACCAUGAAGGUCUGUUUCCUACGAGCAAACGAAGAACAAGCCAGAAACUGAGAUUGCAAUCUGGAUAUUGCGAAUAUAAGAUGAAAGCUUUAUUGAUCAAGGUGGGGUUCUGUGACGCCUUUGUCUGGUCGUUGAACACAAACGAAGUACGCGAAGUUGCAGCUAUGGCGAACUUUUAAUCUAAACAAAACCCAAAGUCUAAACGGUGCCCUAAGGGCUGUAUAUAUGGAGGAAGAGGGGGUGAAUUUCGUGGCCCUUGGUGGAGGGGUCCGAAACUAACCCUAUCUCUUGUUUCCCCACACAUACGGACUCUAAAAAUAGCCUAUACUUAUGUAUUUCGAAAUUACAUGGGCCUGGCCCAAUAAUAAGGUGACGCAGCACCUAGAAUAGCCUCUGGACGAAAUUUAUGAAGUGGCAUCUUGUAUAUUUCGUCCAAGGCUUCAUGCACUCAUUAUGGUGGCUUCAAAGUCCUGAAAUCAUCACUUGUAACUCCAUUCUUGUCCCCCUUGCGCAUGCCAUCAUCUCCAUGCUUGUUCUUG
rnacentral:lncRNA from 1 species